GACGAACGCUGGCGGCGUGCUUAACACAUGCAAGUCGAACGGAAAGGCCCUGCUUUUGUGGGGUGCUCGAGUGGCGAACGGGUGAGUAACACGUGAGUAACCUGCCCUUGACUUUGGGAUAACUUCAGGAAACUGGGGCUAACACCGGAUAGGAGCUCCUGCUGCAUGGUGGGGGUUGGAAAGUUUCGGCGGUUGGGGAUGGACUCGCGGCUUAUCAGCUUGUUGGUGGGGUAGUGGCUUACCAAGGCUUUGACGGGUAGCCGGCCUGAGAGGGUGACCGGCCACAUUGGGACUGAGAUACGGCCCAGACUCCUACGGGAGGCAGCAGUGGGGAAUAUUGCACAAAGGGCGGAAGCCUGAUGCAGCAACGCCGCGUGCGGGAUGACGGCCUUCGGGUUGUAAACCGCUUUCGCCUGUGACGAAGCGUGAGUGACGGUAAUGGGUAAAGAAGCACCGGCUAACUACGUG
rnacentral:rRNA from 1 species